rnacentral:rRNA from 1 species
GCUACGGGAGGCUGCAGUGAGGAAUAUUGGUCAAUGGACGAGAGUCUGAACCAGCCAAGUAGCGUGAAGGAUGACUGCCCUAUGGGUUGUAAACUUCUUUUAUAAAGGAAUAAAACGAGGCACGUGUGCCUUUUUGCAUGUACUUUAUGAAUAAGGAUCGGCUAACUCCGUGCCAGCAGCCGCGGUAAUACGGAGGAACCGAGCGUUAUCCGGAUUUAGUGGGUUUAAAGGGAUAGUAGAUGGGUUGUUAAGUCAGUUGUCAAAGUUUGCGGCUCAACCGUAAAAUUGCAAUUGAAACUGGCAGUCUUGAGUACAGAUGAGGUAGGCGGAAGUAGUGGUGUAGCGGUGAAAUGCUUAGAUAUCACGAAGAACCCCGAUUGCGAAGGCAGCUUACUAAACUGUGACUGACAUUGAUGCACGAACGUGUGGGUAUCAAACAGGAUUAGAUACCCCAGUAGUC